CAGCACAGGAACACUGAUAAUCAACUAUUUCGUGAUAACGAAAUUCACGAACAUCGGUGACGCAAAAACUGAACCUCACGCUCAGGUGAUCGUACCAUUGAGGAGGUUGUCAUCUUAUCCCCCCUCUCGUCUGAGAAUAAACAUUUGUGCUUUUGAUGGAAGCACUGUUUGUUCUCCAGUUUUUCACAACUGUACAGGAACACUGACUAUCAACUAUUUCAGUGAGAAAGAACUUCAUGAGCAUCACUGAACAACUGAACCUGAACUCCAGGCUCAAGCACACUUCAUCUGACAGUGCCAUAGAAACAGUGAUGGACUGGACCUCACACAGUGUUCCUGGGAUAUGCUCCGUGAUCACUGGAUAGCUUCACUUGGACACUAUAGACUUGAAACUAACACAUCCACAAUAUAUUUUUUAAUCAUUUCUCCCCUGUCUGGAACAACACCCUCCUACCUCAACUCUCUCCUGAAGGCCUACAUUCCCUCACGCAAUCUGCGAUCAAUUAGCGACCGACGUUUUGUACAUAAAAAUAUUAAAUGUAAAUGUAAUGUCUUAACCCUUAUUUUAGUUCCUUAGUCAACAGCUUGCAAAAAAAAGUAAAAGUACUUGUGAG
ensembl:lncRNA